rnacentral:rRNA from 1 species
UACGUAGGGUGCGAGCGUUGUCCGGAAUUAUUGGGCGUAAAGAGCUCGUAGGCGGUUUGUCGCGUCAGCCGUGAAAACUUGGGGCUUAACUCCAAGCUUGCGGUCGAUACGGGCAGACUUGAGUUCGGGAGAGGGAUGCGGAAUUCCAGGUGUAGCGGUGAAAUGCGUAGAUAUCUGGAGGAACACCGGUGGCGAAGGCGGCAUCCUGGACCGACACUGACGCUGAGGAGCGAAAGCCAGGGGAGCAAACGGG